GAUGAACGCUGGCGGCGUGCCUAAUACAUGCAAGUCGAGCGAACGGACGAGAAGCUUGCUUCUCUGAUGUUAGCGGCGGACGGGUGAGUAACACGUGGAUAACCUACCUAUAAGACUGGGAUAACUUCGGGAAACCGUAGCUAAUACCGGAUAAUAUUUUGAACCGCAUGGUUCAAAAGUGAAAGACGGUCUUGCCGUCACUUAUAGAUGGAUCCGCGCUGCAUUAGCUAGUUGGUAAGGUAACGGCUUACCAAGGCAACGAUGCAUAGCCGACCUGAGAGGGUGAUCGGCCACACUGGAACUGAGACACGGUCCAGACUCCUACGGGAGGCAGCAGUAGGGAAACUUCCGCAAUGGGCGAAAGCCUGACGGAGCAACGCCGCGUGAGUGAUGAAGGUCUUCGGAUCGUAAAACUCUGUUAUUAGGGAAGAACAUAUGUGUAAGUAACUGUGCACAUCUUGACGGUACCUAAUCAGAAAGCCACGGCUAACUACGUG
rnacentral:rRNA from 1 species